CACUCCGUAGGGUCCUUUAUGAAACUUAAAAUAACCCUGUGACUGAUGCGACUUAUGUUGCGGAAAAGAUAACGUGCUGCUCCAGUCCACUUCUCUGUAACCUAAAAAAAGACAUGCAGUCAGACGAAGGCUUCUUUUGAAAUAUGACAGUUAAAGUGUUUCAUUGUGGUGAUAUCACCCCCCCCCCUUCCCGUCUUCACACACAUGAUGUCAAAUCCUCCUUGUUGCUGUGGCAGAUGUACAUCAGACGGAAGCUGCUGUUUGUGGGCUACAUGCACAGUGGUCGCGGCUGCUCAGUCGGGGACCUUCAGAAGCAGAUCUGCAGAAGCAGGGGAGACUACAGAUUAGGUCUGAGCCUCCCACCACACUACAAGUUCAGUGAAGCAGUGAAUAACUCUGCAGCCACAGACCCACACAACUCACAAGAUGCAGCAAUGACAGGAAGAGAUGACGUAACACUGCCUGCUUCAGUGGAAAAGAAGAAGGCCAAUGAGAGAAAAACCAUCGAAGUUCGUGAGGCAUCGCAGCAACGACAGAGAAACUUUUGUGUCAAAUCAAAACAGACAUUUCCGCAUGUUCCUUUGACGACGCAUUGACAAGAUUACCUCUGUAUCUCCCUCGAAAAGUUAUCAAGUGCACUGUUGGUUCAUACUUAAGGUUAAUGUUGGCAAACACCUAAUAUACGUAGUAUGCAAGUUUGCACCUAUAUGGGACUCCAGAUACAACAUUUCUUUCCCUUUUGACAGUAAGGAGCAUGUGCCGGUAACUCUUGCAGCCAUCAGAUGAUCCAAGAUGUUAAGAUGAGAUACAGAUGUUUCACUGUGCUCUGAAUAUUCUAAUUUUAUAUAAAUAUCCAUGAAAGAUACAUGUGUUACUUGGAUUUGUUAUCAUUUUAAUAAACACUUAAUUUUCAA